CCAGCCUCCUUUUCCCCCAGCUCUCCUGUUUCUUCUCGCUUCCAUGCCCCUGGUGUGUCCACACCCACUAUUUUCCACCUCUCUUUCCCCUUUUCCCACAUCUUUUGGAUCCUGCUCUAGUUCCCUGUAAGAUAAAGUCCAUGUCCUGAGCUGGGUUCCUGUGACCUCCCGCAGGGAACAAGGAGCCUGGCCAUGAGAGCACCACCAUGCCUCAGAGCUCAGGGAACAAGCAAAGCUGCAGGAUGAAAGAGGCAGAGAUUAAGGGGGGCGACCUGAUCCCUCAAGGAUGUGGCUGUGUUCCUCCUCACAGAGGGGCCACAAGUCCACAGUCAGUCCCCACAGAGGACAACUAAAAACCUCCUUCAAAGCAGCCGCUGGGAACCAUGCACCUCCUCUUUCCUUGACAGGUUGUGAAAGGCCAGCUCCCACCUCCCCUUGACACCCCUAGGGAUGGAUCCCACUAAGGAGAUCCUACUUGCUUGCGAGAAUGAGCCCUGGUGGGGUAGGCCACAUCCCAGAGCCCUGGCUGGGCCACAGGGCUGGUGGUGUCAUGCACAGGCUCAACAUUCCUGGGCAGCCCCUCUUGAUGACCAUCUUGUGAGACGAGGGUGGGCACGAGAGCUGGCCCUGCUCCCUCGGGGGGCU
rnacentral:lncRNA from 1 species